GUUUGACCUCGGAUCAGGUAGGA
rnacentral:rRNA from 1 species